CAGGGCAAGGUCUAAGGGUUUAAGCACAUAAACGGCGAAACUGCGAAUGGCUCAUUAAAUCAGUUAUCGUAUAUUCUCGAUAGUACCUACUACAUGGAUAACCGUGGUAAUUCUAGAGCUAAUACAUGCUUAAAAUCCCGACUUCGGAAGGGAUGUAUUUAUUAGAUUAAAAACCAAUGCCCUUCGGGGCUCACUGGUGAUUCAUAAUAACUUCUCGAAUCGCAUGGCCUUGUGCCGGCGAUGGUUCAUUCAAAUUUCUGCCCUAUCAACUUUCGACGGCUGGGUCUUGGCCAGCCGUGGUUACAACGGGUAACGGAGGGUUAGGGCUUGACCCCGGAGAAGGAGCCUGAGAAACGGCUACUACAUCCAAGGAAGGCAGCAGGCGCGCAAAUUACCCAAUCCCGACUCGGGGAGGUAGUGACAAUAAAUACUGAUACAGGGCUCUUUUGGGUCUUGUAAUUGGAAUGAGUACAAUUUAAAUCCCUUAACGAGGAACAAUUGGAGGGCAAGUCUGGUGCCAGCAGCCGCGGUAAUUCCAGCUCCAAUAGCGUAUAUUAAAGUUGUUGCAGUUAAAAAGCUCGUAGUUGAACCUUGGGCCUGGCUGGCCGGUCUGCCUCACCGCAUGCACUGGUCCGGCCGGGCCUUUCCCUCUGGGGAUCCGCAUGCCCUUCACUGGGUGUGUCGGGGAACCAGGACUUUUACUGUGAAAAAAUUAGAGUGUUCAAAGCAGGCAUAUGCUCGAAUACAUUAGCAUGGAAUAAUAGAAUAGGACGUCGCGGUUCUAUUUUGUUGGUUUCUAGGACCGCCGUAAUGAUUAAUAGGGACAGUCGGGGGCAUCAGUAUUCAAUCGUCAGAGGUGAAAUUCUUGGAUCGAUUGAAGACUAACUACUGCGAAAGCAUUUGCCAAGGAUGUUUUCAUUAAUCAGGAACGAAAGUUAGGGGAUCGAAAACGAUCAGAUACCGUUGUAGUCUUAACCAUAAACUAUGCCGACUAGGGAUCGGGCGGUGUUAUUUCUUGACCCGCUCGGCACCUUACACGAAAGUAAAGUUUUUGGGUUCUGGGGGGAGUAUGGUCGCAAGGCUGAAACUUAAAGAAAUUGACGGAAGGGCACCACAAGGGGUGGAGCCUGCGGCUUAAUUUGACUCAACACGGGGAAACUCACCAGGUCCAGACACAACUAGGAUUGACAGAUUGAGAGCUCUUUCUUGAUUUUGUGGGUGGUGGUGCAUGGCCGUUCUUAGUUGGUGGAGUGAUUUGUCUGCUUAAUUGCGAUAACGAACGAGACCUUAACCUGCUAAAUAGCCCGUGCCGCCUAGGCGGCACGCCGGCUUCUUAGAGGGACUAUCGGCUUCAAGGCCCCGAGGAAG
rnacentral:rRNA from 1 species